ensembl:lncRNA
UGAAGGUCUCACCGCCUGAAGGAAGUCUCCAGAAAAACAGGUAAGAAAUAAGUCAGGAUCCCUGUGAAUGCUGCUGCAUGAGAAGGUGAGUUUGGGAUUUUGAUUUUGCAUUCAUGCAUCUGAUAUUUUGAAAUCUCAACAAUGACAACACCUCGACGAGAUUCUGCCGCGUUUUUCUUUUUGAUUUCUUUCAGGCGGAUGACCCCGGGACGCAAGACCAAGAGGAGGACGAACCUAAAAGAUGACAAAAGAUGAGACAGCGAAGGACAGUGAAGAUGAGUGAUCGAGCCCCGACAGAGACGCAGCCAGAGACGAUGACCGACUUUACUGCGACUUUACUGGAUGCACUGGUGCUUCAUCGACUCCAAGCCAUUUCAGACAGGAUGUAACAGAGAUGAUGGGAGGCAGAUCCAGGACCAGUGCAUGACUCAUGAGACCAUUCAAUUAACCCAAGAGCUCUCUCUCCAAGACCGCCAGACUAAUGAAAGAUCAAAUCAAGAAACCAGACAAGGACCAGCCCAUGGUGUGGAAGAGGGGAUGAUUAUUAUAGCGACACAAACGGAGGAAUUUGGAACACCCAGAGAAAACCCAUGCAGUCGCAGAGAGAACAUGAACAGAAAGAAGCAACUAAGCAGCAGAAGACAAAGAAACAGUUGGAGGAGCCCCAAGAUGACGGAUCAACGACAAAAGAACCAGGCCAGGAAGAUGAAGAAGAUGAAGACCAGUCCCAAACAAAGAAGAAGAUGACCAGUCCCACACGAAGAAGAAAAUGAAGAUUAGUCCCACACGAAGAAGAAGAACUCCAAAUGUCACCAAUGUACAGCAUGUACCGUUUUAGACAGAAUCAGCCCUCAGAUGUAUGUUCAAGAUGAAGUCCUCUGCAGCCCACAACCAAUCGACCUUUGCUGAGCUGAAGUUAGAGGUUCUGAAGAUGAAGCAAGCUCUGGUGGACAGACCAACACCCUGUUUCAUCAGCCACAAGUCUCAUUACAAGAGCUCAACCUCCCACAUCAAAGAAAACGUGGGACAACGUGAAUUUAAACAUUUUGCAAAAGUGUCUCACCAUUAAAGUGAAAGUCUGAUUUCCAGCUCUUUUGAAUACAUCUUUUCAUCACCCUUUAAUGGAGUAGAGCAAUUUGUGAAACAAAAGACAUAAAAAAAUGUUACUUUCAAUUAGCAUUCAAAUAUGAAUAAAUUACAACAGUUCAGCAACACCUUAUUCAUUUUAGAUUUUUAAGAAAUCCAAACUGCAUCUACUGUUUUACGACCUGACCUCAGUCUGAAAAUCAGAUCUCCUUAAUAAAUAUUCUGCAUUAAUAUAGUACCUUUUAACCUUGGUGGUUACCAUUGGGAGCAGCUUGUGGUUCAGUGUCUUGACCGAGGAGAUUUCAACAGAGAUCGAACCGUUAAUCCUGCAAUUAGUGGACAACCUGUUCUACCACCUGUGCCACAGCCACCCACCAAUACUACUGAUAUCCAGUUACAAAGUAUAACCGUUUUUUGGAGGGUUUUUUUCUGGCUAAAGUCACUUAUUUUAGAAUAUUAUUCACAAUCUUAUAGAUAUAGUAUUUCACUUUAUGAUCAAGACAACAAAAAUCUGAUAAAAAAAGACAAAAAACAACAAACACAACACAAAAUAUUAC